UCUCCGUUGGUGAACCAGCGGAGGGAUCAUUACCGAGUUUACAAACUCCCAAACCCUUUGUGAACCUUACCAUAUUGUUGCUUCGGCGGGACCGCCCCGGCGCCUUCGGGCCCGGAACCAGGCGCCCGCCGGAGGCCCCAAACUCUUCGUUAUUUACUGGCCUCUCUGAGUAACUUAUACAAUAAGUCAAAACUUUCAACAACGGAUCUCUUGGUUCUG
rnacentral:misc_RNA from 1 species